UCCGAGUUGACCCCGGCAGUCUCCUGCGAGUCCCCGCCAUUACGCGCUGGCAACACAGGACAAGGGUUGCGCUCGUUGCGGGACUUAACCCAACAUCUCACGACACGAGCUGACGACAACCAUGCACCACCUGUACACCAGUGUCCAAAGAGUUCCCUAUUUCUAGGGCGUUCCGGUGUAUGUCAAGCCUUGGUAAGGUUCUUCGCGUUGCAUCGAAUUAAUCCGCAUGCUCCGCCGCUUGUGCGGGUCCCCGUCAAUUCCUUUGAGUUUUAGCCUUGCGGCCGUACUCCCCAGGCGGGGAACUUAAUGCGUUAGCUGCGUCACGGAAUCCGUGGAAAGGACCCCACAACUAGUUCCCAACGUUUACGGGGUGGACUAC
rnacentral:misc_RNA from 1 species